CUUUACCAGCUGGGUGUUUUACUUCAAGCUGGUGAUGAACUACUCCUGCUAGGCUGCUAAUGCCGUUUUUCUGCUUCUGAAAUGAGAGAAAAAUCCCAACUCAAUCCUUUCACGUGAAUGAGCAAAUACUCCUGCCCUAAUGACGUUCUCUCUGCUUGUGAAAUGAGAGAGAAAUCCCAACUCAAUCCUUUCACGUGAGGAGUAGUGCUUUUCAGCUAGAAUCAAACGUGGGGGACAGAGAGUAAAAAAUGUGGAAAAAG
rnacentral:lncRNA from 1 species